rnacentral:misc_RNA from 1 species
GAUGAAGAACGUAGCGAAAUGCGAUACUUGGUGUGAAUUGCAGAAUCCCGUGAACCAUCGAGUCUUUGAACGCAAGUUGCGCCCGAAGCCAUUAGGCCGAGGGCACGCCUGCCUGGGCGUCACACGUCGUUGCCCCCCCAUCUACUCCUUCGGGAUUGCGGGGGGCGGAUGAUGGCCUCCCGUGCGCCUCGUCGCGCGGUUGGCAUAAAUACCAAGUCCUCGGCGACGCACGCCACGACAAUCGGUGGUUGCGAAACCUCGGUUGCCCGUCGUGUGCGGUCGUCGCGCAUCGAGGGCUCGAAAAAAUUGCCGGGCUCCGGCUCGGCUUUCAACGCGACCCCAGGUCAGGCGGGGUUACCCGCUGAAAUUAAGCAUAUCAAUAAGCGGAGGA